GGUUGUGUUAAUUUUGGCCUCGAAGAGCGAAGAAUUGGAGACUCCAAAAUUCAGUGAAACAGAGGAAAAAGAAUGAAGGAAGAAGGGGGGGGAAGGCCAGACGAAUGUGGAAAAUGGAAACUUCCUGACGGAAGGCAGUUACUUCAUAAGUCACUCACCAGAAAAAUAUUAGAAAACAUGCAUCAAAAACUCAUUGGGGUACUAAGGCUUUGUGUGAUCACUUUCUAAGGAAUUAUGGGUGCAUUGGAAUCUAUGGGUUGGCUAAACAAAUAACUGAAAGAUGUAUGGUUUGCCAAAAAGUAAAUAAGAAGGUGAUGAGAAAAACAACUUCAGGAGGUCGUGAGUUGGCUCUCCGACCAUUUCAAAGUAUCCACGUGGACUUUACUGAAGUCCCCCACGUGCAGAGGUGGAAAUUCUUGUUAGUAAUAACAGACCAUCUUACCCAUUGGGUGGAAGCUGUUCCCAGUGUCAGAGCCACAGCCAAUGUAGAAUGUAAAACCCUCUUAGAACAAAUUAUUCCCAGGUAUGGAAUGAUUACUAAGAUAGACACACUUUACAUCAAAAGUUUUACAGCAACUAACUCAAGCCUUAAGAAUAAAAUGAGAACUACAUAGCCCAUGGCACCCAGAGAGUUCAGGACGGGUAGAGAGGAUGAAACAAACUUUAAAGAGAACCUUAACAACUGAAUUAAUAAUUGAAACUCAAAUGUCAUGGGUAAAAUGCCAACCUCUGGCUUUAUUGAGAGCUCAGACACAACCAGGUCAGAUGUGAGAGUGUCACCUUAUGAAAUGAUGGUUGGUGUUGAAGAUGAAAGUUUGGUAAGAAAGUUUUGCAGAUAUGUGGGCUCGGCCGAGAGAUCUCUGAGUGUGGAGCCUGAGGAUGGGACAGAAAUGGAAGCAGGUUUUGAUGUAGAGUGGAAGAUGUUUGCUGAAACAUUGAUCACUGAAUGGGUGAGAGGACAAAGGUUGGAGAUGAGCUGGAAGGAGAUUUUUGUGCUUAGGACAGAGGUAUGUGACUGCAAACAAGGACAUGUUUUUCACCGGGUGUGUGGGUCCCAGGAAGAGCAGAAGUAAAUAGAAAACAUGUUUUUGCCAGGAAGAGAGCUAUGGCAGGCAGACAAGGAAUGUUGAUGUGGCAGGAAGAAGAGAGGUCUGAGAGUGUUCCAUUGUGAGCUUGAAUUGUAGCUUGCUUGCUCUUGUGAUUGGAUGGUGGUGACUCUGGGGUUCUAUAGGAUAUGUACAGUACGGUGGUGGUAGUACCUAAGAUAGGCUAUAGGCAAAUGUAAAGGUGUUGUGUAUGGUGCUUGUUGGUUGUUAUGUCUUGGGAUACUCAGCAAAGAAAGGUGUACAGUGCUCUCUUGAACAGAAAGCGGCUUCAGUUAUGCCUACAAGCUGUGGCUGACAGCUGUGGGGCUGGCUCUGGAUACCCACUCCCUGAAAUGCUUUUGUGACUUUUCCUAUGCAAUAAACAGCUUUCAAGAGAGCUGCCUGAAGUCCAGACAUCCUUCCUGAACCCUUUUCCUAUAGUUUGGGUUACCCUUUUUGAACACCCAACAUGAAACUGCUACCUAUGAAUUAGGGGAAUGAGUGUUAAAGAAUAUGUCAACACAAUUGCAAGGACUCUUGAAGAUUUGCGGUUCAAAGGGAUAAUCCCUCAAACCACUCCUUUAGACUUUAAAAUCUGUAACAUCCAUCCAGGGGAGUGGGUGUUAGUAAAAACAUGGAAGGAGCAAUCUUUAGCUGCACAAGGGAAAGGUCCUUUUCAGGUGCUACUGACAACUGAGGCAGCGAUCCGGGUCAAGGAGCGAGGGUGGAUCCACGGCAGCAGAAUCAAAGGACCCGUGCAGGAACCUAAGGAGUGGACUAGAACAUCUAAGCCUGGGGAUACCAAGGCAGAGCAAAGAACAGCUGAAACAGUAACCCUGCUUUGUGGAUGGGAAUUACUAGUGCCUGUUGAAUGGGAGAUACCUGAGGAACGGUGGGAAGCUACAAUUAAGAAGUGUCAAAAGCAAUUUGCCUGG